rnacentral:rRNA from 1 species
UACGUAGGGUGCAAGCGUUAAUCGGAAUUACUGGGCGUAAAGCGUGCGCAGGCGGUUGUGUAAGUCAGAUGUGAAAUCCCCGGGCUCAACCUGGGAAUUGCAUUUGAGACUGCACGGCUAGAGUGUGUCAGUGGGGGGUAGAAUUCCACGUGUAGCAGUGAAAUGCGUAGAGAUGUGGAGGAAUACCGAUGGCGAAGGCAGCCCCCUGGGAUAACACUGACGCUCAUGCACGAAAGCGUGGGGAGCAAACAGG